rnacentral:rRNA from 1 species
UACGAAGGGGGCUAGCGUUGCUCGGAAUCACUGGGCGUAAAGGGCGCGUAGGCGGCCAUAUAAGUCGGGGGUGAAAGCCUGUGGCUCAACCACAGAAUUGCCUUCGAUACUGUAUGGCUCGAGACCGGAAGAGGUAAGUGGAACUGCGAGUGUAGAGGUGAAAUUCGUAGAUAUUCGCAAGAACACCAGUGGCGAAGGCGGCUUACUGGUCCGGUUCUGACGCUGAGGUGCGAAAGCGUGGGGAGCGAACGGG